CAGUCGCCACGGUAAUACGUAGGUGGCAAGCGUUAUCCGGAAUUAUUGGGCGUAAAGCGCGCGUAGGCGGUUUUUUAAGUCUGAUGUGAGAGCCCACGGCUCAACCGUGGAGGGUCAUUGGAAACUGGAAAACUUGAGUGCAGAAGAGGAAAGUGGAAUUCCAUGUGUAGCGGUGAAAUGCGCAGAGAUAUGGAGGAACACCAGUGGCGAAGGCGACUUUCUGGUCUGUAACUGACGCUGAUGUGCGAAAGCGUGGGGAUCAAACAGGAUUAGAUACCCCUGUAGUCCCUGUCUUUUAUAC
rnacentral:rRNA from 1 species